CGACUACAAGGGGAGAAAAAAAAUCAAACUAAGAACUUUUCUUUGAAGUUCUCUGUGGUUUUGCUCUCUGACGCUCCUUGGUGGCACUGUCUGACUUUAAUAUGCCUUCACCCCACGUCUGCUGGGGUGAGGCCAUUAGGGCGGUGUAAACAGAGGUGGCUUAUCUGCAGACUGCUAGUGUUCCACACGUGAAAGGCAACAAGUGCCCUUUAAAGGACAGUAAGAGCAAACAGCCCAGACCUCCAGCAACAGCCAGAUCCCCAAGACUAGCAGCAGUCGGGGUGUGAGGAGGGGUUCACAGCUGUAGGAUCUUCACACGCUCAAGAUUCCCAGGAAGGUGACCGACACAGGGCACCAGGGCAGGCAGCCGGGAACAAACAAGCAGCCUCCUUCUACAGAAUGGUGUGAACCCAUGACCCUGAGAAUGGGUGAUGAUGGUGCACAACUUAAUCCCAGAACUCAAGAGGCAGAGGCAGGUGGAUCUACGAGUUCAAGACAAACAUGGUCUGCAGACUGAGGUCCAGGACAGCCAGGGCUUCAAAGAGAAACCCUGCGUCAAAAAACCAAAAAGAAAAAAAGAUAUAUAUAUUUGUGUGAAUAUAUACACAUGCAUGCAAAUGCCCAAAGAAGUGGAACGAGAGCAUUGGGCACCUGGAAAGUUGCCUGAUGGGGGUGACGGGAACUGAACCUACAAGAGUUGUAUGUGUCCUUAACCUCUCUAGCCCUGAGAUUUCUAGUUCUUAAUGUAUAUUUGUGGAUUCCAUUUAAGAAACUUCUAAUGUAGGGUGUGCUCUAGCAAAUUUUUCCUAAUUCUUUAAGAGGACCAUUCUGAAGUAGACGUGGUUUAUCAUGUGAAGAAUUUUGAAUCACUAAGUUGGACAUGGUUGCCUAUAUUCCCAGCAUUUGGCAGGCUGAGUAUCAAGAAUUCAAGGUCAUUGUCUUAGUUACUUUUCAAUUGCUGUGACAAAACACCAUGUCCAAGACAACUUAUAGAAGAAAGAGUUUAUUUCAGGCUUCCAAUCCAGAGACUGAGUCAGUGAUCAUUAUGUGAGGAGCUUGACAGCAAGCAAGCAGGCAUAGUGCUGGAGCAGGAGCUGAAGGCUCACAUUUGGAUCCACAGGGGGCAGGGAGGGAGAGAGAGAGAAAGAGAGAGAGAGAGAGAGAGAGAGAGAGAGAGAGAGAGAGAGCUAGUUGGGAAUGGUUUGGACCUUUAAAACCUCAAAGCUCACCUCCAGUGACAUUCCUCCUUCAAAAAAGAUCACACCUCUUAAUCCUUCCCAAACAGUUCCAACAACUGCAGAUGCAAUGUUCAAACACAGGUCUAUAGGAGUUGUUUUCAUUCAAAUUACCACAAUCAUUGGCUACAUGGUGGUGAGUUUGAUGCAUAGUCUUAGGUAUGUGAGACUCUGUCUCAGAAAACAAAAUAGAAUUUAGAAUCAGAAUUUCUGACUUCAGCAUUCUCGUUGUACCAUUCCCAACACCUCAACUGCUUUCCCAGACAUUAGGUAUUCUUCCCACACAUUCUUCUUACCCCACCUCUUCCAAAACUUAGCUGUUCUUGUCCAAAAUAUGGUGGAGAGAUUCUGCAGCCUCUCAGGGGCCUCAGCUUACUGUAUUUGGGGAGACAUGAGUAUAACUUUAUUAGGGAUGCUGCAAUAUAACUCACAGGAGUGG